rnacentral:rRNA from 1 species
CUACGGGAGGCUGCAGUAGGGAAUAUUGGACAAUGGGCGAAAGCCUGAUCCAGCAACGCCGCGUGCACGAUGACGGCCUUCGGGUUGUAAAGUGCUUUUAGAGGAGAUGAGAAAGGACAGUAUCCUCUGAAUAAGCCUCGGCGAACUACGUGCCAGCAGCCGCGGUAAAACGUAGGAGGCAAGCGUUAUCCGGAUUUAUUGGGCGUAAAGCGCGUGCAGGCGGUUUGACAAGUUGGAUGUGAAAGCUCCCGGCUUAACUGGGAGAGGUCGUUCAAAACUGUCAGACUAGAGAAUGGGAGAGGGAGGUGGAAUUCCGGGUGUAGUGGUGAAAUGCGUAGAUAUCCGGAGGAACACCAGUGGCGAAAGCGGCCUCCUAGACCAUUUCUGACGCUAAGACGCGAAAGCUAGGGUAGCAAACGGGAUUAGAUACCCCGGUAGUC